GGCGGCCCCCGGCUGCCCUCGAGGACGCAGCAGGGAGGGGAGGUCGGCGGUGACUGGCGACGCCGGCCUGACUGCGGAGGCGGCGGGGCCGGGCUCCAGGACCCGCGGUGCGGUAAAGAGGAGGCGCCGGGCCGGGACGACGGUGCCCCCGCCUCCCGCCGGUUCCCCCGCCGCCGCCGCCGCGUCACGAGGCACACAGUCGCGCUGCGAAUCCGCCUUCGGCCGGACGGUAGUCCUCCCAGGAGGGAGACGAGGAGCCCCCGAGGAAACCGAGCCCGCGGGGCGGCAGGGGCGGGGGAGCGACAGGAUGUCCGGUUUGCGACCUAAGCGCCAGAGCAUGCAGUGCCGCGCGGUGAGCCCUGCUGCUACGUGCAAUGACAAAAAGAAGCCAGAGGUCAUUAAAAGCCAUCCUAUAUAGCACAGAAAGCAGAACUGCAGGCUCAGGAAAAAGAACAUAAUAUCAUCUGUGGCUAUUAUGGAUGGCUUACUGUGGACAAGCCAUGGCCCUGAGCCUGGUGAAAACAGGGAGGAGACACCCUAGUGGCAGCUGUUCAGGAAGGAGGGACGUGCAAUGUUGCAGCUCUGGGGAGGUAAACAGCAGCUCCUGCCCUUCGCUGGAGAAACGUAUGCUGAGAACACUGACACACGACCGGACAGUGAAACCACGCAGAGGGAAGCGCUGUCGCAAACACCAGCAGUUGGGCUGAGUGUGUGUAGUGUGUGAAGGAAAGGACUCCCCACCCACGGGGAGGAGAGGAUUGCCAGCUAGCUCCACAGCUGAAGUGAUCAACAAGGAAUGGAGCCCUUGAUAUUUAGCCGGGUGCAUCACAGCCCAGAACAAGAGUCAUUUCUGAGCCACUCCGAGAACCAGAGCUCUGAACUACUUGGAUCCUGCCCAUCCAUGUAGUUGGCAGAGAUUCGUAAGGUGGAAGUCGUGCUUGCACUGCCUCCGCGAUGCUACCGCGGGUUUCUGUUUCCCAGUCCCCUGCCCCAGAACAAAACUGCUUUAUGAUUUCGGUGGCUUUCCAGUGGCUAUAGGACCAUCUGCAUGGGCGGCCUCAGUCUGUUGGGCUGUUCUCAAAGGAGUCCUUGACUGUUUCUUCAGUCCUCCCACUGGUCCUCGAAGCCAUAACCAAACCUGUGCUAAAUCCCGUUCUGAUUUAACUAGCUAAAGUGAAUUCUGUUUCCAGCAAGCGAGCUCUGACCAUACAAAGUUUGGAAUUUAGACGUGGGCUGCUGCCCUAAAAGAUAUUAACGGACACUUCCUUGAUUUAGCAGUCCAAGCAGCUGGUGACAAGGGCAGGUCUAACAGUGUGGGAGGCUGGAGACCCUCGUCAUUGGGCGUCCGAGUAUUUGAUAGAUGGUCACCUACAGGGCCCUGCGGGGCAGAUUGCAUAUUGCGGGAGCCUCUAGUGGCAGGUUCAAGGGUGGACAACUUCAUAAUGCUGUAGGCUGGUUGCUUCUGCUACUUUCAGCGAAGUUUUACCAGAGAAAGAUGAACUACAUGUACAUCUGCAAAAAUAAAUGAAAAGAAUGUGUCUGUUAAGGAAAGGACAGCAAUCUAAAGCUCCAGCAGAGUAUCUCACCUGCGGCAGGGAAGCCAAAAUAUUUGUGACCCUAAUAAUUUGGUGCCUUGCAGUGUUGAAAAAGCCAGUUGUGUCUGUACUUUCUCACUUAAGAAUUAUAAGAGUUUGCUCUGGGCAGCCAUGGUGGCGCAGCGGUUUGGUGCCGCCUGCAGCCUGGGGUGUGAUCCUGGAGACCUGGGAUCGAGUCCCAAUCCGGCUCCCUGCAUGGAGCCUGCUUCUCCCCCUCCCUCUGCCUGUGUCUCUGCCUCUCUCUGUGUGUCUAUGAAUAAAUAAAUAAAAUCUUUAAAAAAAAAAAAAA
rnacentral:lncRNA from 1 species